CGCAAGCCUGACGGAGCAAGACCGCGUGCGGGAUGACGGCCUAGUGGUUGUAAACCGCUUUUCUCUGGGAAGAUGAUGACGGUACCAGAGGAAUCAGCCUCGGCUAACUCCGUGCCAGCAGCCGCGGUAAUACGGAGGAGGCAAGCGUUAUCCGGAAUUAUUGGGCGUAAAGCGUCCGUAGGUGGUUAUUCAAGUCUGCUGUCAAAGCGUGGGGCUUAACUCCAUAGAGGCAGUGGAAACUGGAUGACUUGAGUGCGGUAGGGGUCGAGGGAAUUCCCAGUGUAGCGGUGAAAUGCGUAGAUAUUGGGAAGAACACCAGUGGCGAAAGCGCUCGACUGGGCCUGCACUGACACUGAGGGACGAAAGCUAGGGGAGCG
rnacentral:rRNA from 1 species